AAAAAGAGCAUUUGCUGUAAUUAGCAUAGUUGUGGAAGAGAGAUUCUCUGACACCGUUACAGAAUCGCUAUCAAGAGAUUUUGGAUGCACAAUUUUUGUAAGUUGGGGCAACUAUUGACCAGCGUUCUAAGCGCCUCA